AGUGUGUAUCUGUCCUGCUCAUGGUGGUUGGUGUCCUUGCCAGAAGUCCUCAUGGAGAGGAAAAAAGAGAAGUCUGGAAAAAGGGUCCUCGAAAUAUUUAUGAAGGAAAGGGGAAAGACACCUCACCCCUUCCUACAGCUUUAUAGGAGGAAAAAGCCUUACUUGUGGCUGUGUAAGGAGACUGACAGGCCACCUUCUCUGAAGUGAACCACUGCACAGCCCCCUGCUGGCCCCUGUGCCUGGACGUGACCAGUCUGAAACACCGAUCCAGAAGUUAAAUAUUCAAGCCCCAGAUUCUGAAUAGUGGUUCCAGCUUAAAACAGGUGACAAAGCAGUGCAGCCCAAGGCAUUAUGCUUCCCCUGUCCCUACGGGAUAAUCAUAAAUCACUGAGAUUGGAUCAAUUGGGCUUAGACAGAAUAUAGAAUCAUAGAAUCGCUAAGGUUGGAAAAGACCCACAGGAUCAUCCAGUCCAACCAUUCGUUCGCCCAUCACCAAUGGUUCCCGCUAAACCAUGUCCCUCAACACAACAUCCAAACGCUCUUUGACCACCACCAGGCAUCAGAACCAGCAACCUUGUGGUGGAACCACACUAUCACAACAGACCAUAUAGUCAGGAAGAAGUAGAUGAGGUCCUUUUCCAAGAAAUGGAAGAAGCCUCACGUGCACAGAGCUUCAUAUUCAGAGGUGACUUGAGUCACUGCAAAGUUACAUGCAAUCUGGGAGAUGACAGAGUUCAGCAUCCUGAGAGGAGAGAGCUGGCCAAAAAAUAGGACUUUGGCUCAGCAGUGGAGAUCAGUUUUGGGAAUAUUUAAGCAAACUGGACAAACAUAAAUUCAGAGGGCAUGGCAGAAUGCAUGCACAAGUGCAUUUUGAGUCAACUCUUACUUUUAAAUGAUCAUUGUGGCCAAGGAAGUUACCGAGGACUAGGAGAAAGCAAAUAUCACAUCUAUUAUCAGGAAGGACAAGCAGGAAAAGAAGCAAGAAAAUCAACAGCUGAGCAUAUUGGAUUUUGAUCAGCGGCACAAAGUCCAUUUAGUGCUGAAACAUAGCAUUUGGUUCUGUCCUCGUGCUCUGAAGAAAGAAAAGGGAGCACUCUUCCACUGCUCCCUUAAAACCACUGUUGUCACAGAGAAGAGCCUUCUCAGGAUCUUCCUUCCGAGUCUAUCUAUGGAAGAAAGGAUAAUGAGAAACAAGCAGCAUACUUCCAGAAACAUGAUUACGAACAAUUAAAGUAGGAUUGGCUCCUCUGGGGAGCUCCUGGGGGAGCCCUGCUGUAGAUAUUUGAAUUGCAACGUGGACUGAAAUAGAAGUGCAGCAAAGGAAGUGUUGUACACUACCUCCACUAAUGUCCUUAAAGCUCCUCUUCACGCUUCUUAUCAAGUGAUAAAGAAAAGCCCAACUAGCAUAGAAAGAAGAGCUCUUAUGGUCCUGUCCUUGGCUACCCCAGUCCCAUUUCUGUAAGGAAAAUAACAUGUUUUGAGUCCCUGUGUGUUGGCACAUUCUCCUCCUUGGCCAUGAUCAAACAGACCAUCUUGGUACCGUUUGUGCUUCGCGGUCAGAAGAUGAAUAAACUUCACAGCGAGAGAGAAAUUCUCCCCGGUUCUGACAAGGACAAAGCCAUGUGUACAUUAUGAGGCUGUUGGGUAAGAAAUUCUUAUAUGUUCAUGUUCACUUUCCUGUUGACCUACUUUGAAAAGCUGAACUACUGAGUACGAAAGACCAUGCUGCUUGGUGACUUAUGAAGAGAGCAUGCUAAUGAAUAGAGGCAAGUGGAAAGCAGAUCUACAGUCUCUCCAGGUGGAAAAGGACAAAGUUUUGGCUCCUAUAGAGAUAAUAUUUCAUUUUCCUUUGCUUUUGGGGAUUUUAAAUGAGGUUUUUCCUUUCAGGAAACUUCUGACAAAGUCAGAGAGCAUCCUGAUUAAUAUUUGUACCGUGGCCCCAAGCCACAAUCCAUUGUUUACACAUAAAAACAAAAGUACAAAAGGAAGUUGUUGGUGAUGAAGUAUCUGCACUUGUUCAGCAUGCCACAUCAGUUCUUUUGCACUGUUCCUCAGUUAAAAUUUCUGCUUUACAUUCCUGCUAUCUUCACCACCCCUGACCACUUUCCUUUCUCCCUUCCUCCUUUUCCUUCUUCUAUUCACAUUAUAGUUCUUCUUCCUGUUUGGAUUUAUUCCAGUAUUCAACUCCAAACUUUUUUUAUUUCCAUGUAGAAAAUAAAGUAAUUUGUCU
ensembl:lncRNA